CAGGAAACGGAAGUGGACUGUGUGCCAGAGAGCAGUUUAUCUUUGCUUGUCAACUCUAUAUUAGUUGACAGACGAUCGCCGAGGCUCUCUGUCGCAGCUGUGUGCCUGAUCAACAAGCCAAAUAUUUCGAGUCUGCUUGCUAACGUGUCUGAAGAGAAGAUAUCAGUGAUGGUGGACCUGCUGAUGGUGGACCAAUGCGGUGAGACAUACCUGUUCCAUAUAACCAUGUGAAAGUAGUAAAUCCUUUCACCUUGAUGAGGCACUGUGAUCAACGGCCUAGCGCAAGCAUGCCAUAGCUCCUUGUAUAAUGUGUCGCUAGAACUCCCUGCACAAAAGAUUCAUUAUGUGAACUAGGCAUAAAAUUCAAGGGCCUUUCACCUUAAUAUAUAAUGGCAGAU